GAAGUUACUCAUGAUGGCGGAAAUGGCAGUUCAGACUGUCAAGCGGGACCGAGUUGAUAAAUUUGUAUGUCUUCUGGAAGACGAAAACUGCCUAAGAGGCCCACAGACAUAAUGCAAGACCAUCAACAAAAAUGAAACGACUACAGAUGCUUCUUGUUCCAAGCAAUUCGAGAGUUAAUUCUGUUCCACACUGAGGAUCGAACCCUGUGCAUGUGUAACAUUUGAUUCAGGACAGUCAGCUACAGCAGUUGAAUAGCUCUCGUAAAGCGUGCUCUUCGAUUAAGUGCCUUACAACCAAAGCCAAAAUCUUGUACGGACAACGAAAUAUCAAAUCGGCGGGAAAACACGAAAAAUCAAGUAGUGAUUGGUUGGAAAGGUUGGCGAAAAUUUUUAAGGCCAAUCACAGGGCGGAGUAAAGCUAAAACGAACCAAUCCCGAAUUGCUUUUGUUACUUAAUUGAAAAUUACUCUAUUAUAACUGUUAGAAAGAGAAACAAGUUAAAAUUUGAUUACUACACAGGAAGUGACCAGCCAUCGACGCAUAUACCAACAAAUUCAAAUACACAUUACAUAUUUCUUGGAAAACACUUUGCGUUGUAUUUUGAAAUUUUGAAAUCUCUUACAUAAAAUUAAGGAGAAAGUAAGUGAAGCAUGCAACUACGUCCGAUUUGUAAAAUGCACUUUAAUAGUUAAGUCUCUCUAUAAUCCGUAAUUUUCUGAUUUUAAUCAAAGCGAGGUAUAAUUUGAAUAGAUUUUUGUGUCUGUGAUAAAUUUUACGGUGUUUACCUUGUCCUUACACUGGAGGAAUGGAAUCUCAUCUCAUCACUUUUAAUAU